rnacentral:tRNA from 1 species
GGAGAAGUGGCAGAGUUGGUCUAUUGCGUCUGAUUUGAAAUCAGAUGAGCUGUCAAGGCUCCGUGGGUUCGAAUCCUACCUUCUCCA